UAGAAGAUGGUGUACGGGGAGCACGAAGGGUUUUGAUCUCUUAUGUGCAGGUUCGAGUCCUGCUUUUCUAU
rnacentral:tRNA from 1 species